CUCCGUAGGGGGAACCUGCGGAGGGAUCAUUACUGAGUUUACGCUCUAUAACCCUUUGUGAACAUACCUAUAACUGUUGCUUCGGCGGGUAGGGUCUCCGUGACCCUCCCGGCCUCCCGCCCCCGGGCGGGUCGGCGCCCGCCGGAGGAUAACCAAACUCUGAUUUAACGACGUUUCUUCUGAGUGGUACAAGCAAAUAAUCAAAACUUUUAACAACGGAUCUCUUGGUUCUGGCAUCGAUGAAGAACGCAGCGAAAUGCGAUAAGUAAUGUGAAUUGCAGAAUUCAGUGAAUCAUCGAAUCUUUGAACGCACAUUGCGCCCGCCAGCAUUCUGGCGGGCAUGCCUGUUCGAGCGUCAUUUCAACCCUCAAGCUCUGCUUGGUGUUGGGGCCCUACAGCUGAUGUAGGCCCUCAAAGGUAGUGGCGGACCCUCCCGGAGCCUCCUUUGCGUAGUAACUUUACGUCUCGCACUGGGAUCCGGAGGGACUCUUGCCGUAAAACCCCCAAUUCUCCAAAGGUUGACCUCGGAUCAGGUAGGAAUACCC
rnacentral:rRNA from 1 species